UAUAUUCAUUGAAUCAACUGAAGUUCCACAGCAGCCGCAAAGUAGACACCAGCUGAGCUGAACAAAGUUUUGCGAAGGGUAAAUAAAUAUCUUGUUGUUUGAAUAAGUACUACUAAACACUGUCUAUAAAGGCUCAUAUUUUAUUUAUUUGAUGUCUGACUGACGUCGCCUGAGAGAGAGGGCUAGCAUUUGCCAUCUAGUCAUAGCCAAUACAUAGCCAACACUUAAAUAGCCUGUGCAUACAGUUGCAUUUCAUCUUUUAUAAAAUGCUAAUUUGGCCGGAAGAGCACAAAGACAAAAGGAUAUCAUCUCAGCCACCUGAUUUUCCUGAUUUACCUCAAAAUGUAUAUCAAAACGUUUUCAGUUCAUUUGCUAUUACAUUGGAAUCUAGUUUUAACAUUUUAUAAAUUUUUAAUCCCACACCACCAUAAAAUAAGGUAAGCAUUUUUGCUUAUAAAAUUCUUUUGUGUUGGUUGAGGUCAGUUCUGAGUGGUAAGGACACUUAAAAUCUGCUCUUCCAAAUUUAGAAAAAUAAUAGGAUAUCUAAAUAAAAAAUAAAAAAGGGGGGGGGUGUUACCCCUUUAGAAAUAACUGCAUGCACAUAUUUGGUUUAUUAAUAGGAAAGCCUUGAAAGGUAACCUUCAUUUAAAACAAAGAUGGUGUGGGCAGAAAGACAUUGUAUGCAAUGGUCUGUGUUUAUUGGAGACUGGGCCUAGGAAGGACAGUAAUAAACGGAGAAACAGAUUAGUUAAGGAAUCGCAAGGAAAAUCCCCACGGCUACUGCUUUGAGAAAGAAUAAAGUGAAAGAUCACUGUCUCAAAGGUCAGAACGUGUGGGCCCUUAAGGACGCUCUAGGGAAGAGCGGGAUUUUGUUGUGUGGAUGUAACUGUGUCCGGACGAAUGAAUGUGUGAACGAUGAUGAAUGUAUGAACAAAUAAAUUCCGUAUUGGGUGGGUAAGGGUCGAGCACCGUUUCUGGACCGUCACUUCGGUGUGAACUGGUAGAAUUGGACUCGACCCAGAUCCACUUGAGAGGGAUGAAUGUAUGAUGAGCCUUGAUAAUAAAAGGACAAUUAAUGACUGAUUAUCCCUUAGAUAAAGGGAAAAAGUAUGCGCGAAUAAGCACUCUGGCUCAAUAAAAAGUGUAGAAAGUGUGAAUGAGUUUAGGAAAAUAGUAUCAAUAAUGUUUGAAUCAAGAUCUAUAAUAGGUUUUUGCAUUUUGGAUGUCUGUGUGAAAGGGGAGAAAAUUUUCUGAGCCCAGUGCAGUGGGAGUGAGAGCAAGGGAGGAAGUUUCCACAUUAAAUUUGUAUUACAUGGGUGAACAAAAAAGGAAAGAGAAGUAAAAAAAUAAAAAAUAAAUAAAGAAUUAUUGUUAGAAAUUGUUAUCUAAAAAGUGAUAAUAAAAUAGAGCAAAUAAAAUAGACAGUCAAAUAAUAAUAUAAUUAAAAAAGUGUAAAUGCAUGAGACAAAAUAAAAAACUAAAUUCAAAGAGGUAUGACACAUAUUAAAGAAUAAAAAUUAGGGUGAAAUUGAAAAAAAAAAAAAAGUUAAAUUAGGUGAAAGGAAAAGAAGACCAAGUUACUAUAUAAAACUUAAUAGUUGAUUUUUGGGGGUAAUAAUAUAAAUAAAGAUAUGGCAGCCACACCAGUGGAAAUAAUUGGAUUAAAAUAUCCACUGUGUAAAGAGCAAAUAAACAAAAUCUCAAAAAAAUGG
ensembl:lncRNA